AGAGUUUGAUCCUGGCUCAGGAUGAACGCUAGCGGCAGGCCUAAUACAUGCAAGUCGAGGGGCAGCGGGGUAGCAAUACUGCCGGCGACCGGCGCACGGGUGCGUAACACGUAUGCAACCUACCUUAAACUGGGGGAUAGCCCGGGGAAACUCGGAUUAAUACCCCAUAACACGGCGAUGUCUCAUGACAAUGUCGUUAAAGAUUUAUCGGUUUAAGCUGGGCAUGCGUUCGAUUAGCUAGUUGGUGAGGUAACGGCUCACCAAGGCUACGAUCGAUAGGGGGUCUGAGAGGAUGAUCCCCCACACUGGUACUGAGAUACGGACCAGACUCCUACGGGAGGCAGCAGUAGGGAAUAUUGGUCAAUGGAGGCAACUCUGAACCAGCCAUGCCGCGUGUAGGAAGAAGGCGUUCUGCGUUGUAAACUACUUUUGAUUGGGAACAAAUGACUCUUGCGAGAGUAGCUGAGUGUACCAAUAGAAUAAGCCACGGCUAACUACGUGCCAGCAGCCGCGGUAAUACGUAGGUGGCAAGCGUUGUCCGGAUUUAUUGGGUUUAAAGGGUGCGUAGGCGGCUUGAUAAGUCAGUGGUGAAAGCCGAUCGCUCAACGAUCGAACUGCCAUUGAUACUACCAGGCUUGAGUAUAGAUGAGGUAGGCGGAAUUGACAGUGUAGCGGUGAAAUGCAUAGAUAUUGUCAAGAACACCAAUUGCGAAGGCAGCUUACUAAGUUAUAACUGACGCUGAGGCACGAAAGUGCGGGGAUCAAACAGGAUUAGAUACCCUGGUAGUCCACGCCGUAAACGAUGUCAACUAGCCGUUGGGAGCCUUGAGCUCUUAGUGGCGCAGCUAACGCAUUAAGUUGACCGCCUGGGGAGUACGGCCGCAAGGUUAAAACUCAAAUGAAUUGACGG
rnacentral:rRNA from 1 species